rnacentral:rRNA from 1 species
GAUAAACGCUGGCGGUCGCGACGAUAAGACAUGCAAGUCGAACGGAAGUCGUUAUAAAAGGGAUUGAAGAUUUAUCUGAUUGAGAUUUUAUAACAAUGGCUUUAGUGGCGGACUGGUGAGUAACGCGUGAGUAACCUGCCUACUAGAGGGGAAUAACAGUGAGAAAUCAUUGCUAAUACCGCAUAUGCCAUGAACAUCACAUGAUGAAAAAUGGGAAAAGAGUAAUCUGCUAGUAGAUGGGCUCGCGUCUGAUUAGAUAGUUGGUGGGGUAACGGCCUACCAAGUCGACGAUCAGUAGCCGGACUGAGAGGUUGAACGGCCACAUUGGGACUGAGACACGGCCCAG